rnacentral:rRNA from 1 species
UACGUAGGGGGCAAGCGUUGUCCGGAUUUAUUGGGCGUAAAGAGCGUGUAGGCGGCCUGGUAGGUCAGCUGUGAAAACUCGAGGCUCAACCUCGAGACGCCGGUUGAAACCAUCAGGCUAGAGUCCGGAAGAGGAGAGUGGAAUUCCCGGUGUAGCGGUGAAAUGCGCAGAUAUCGGGAAGAACACCCGUGGCUAAGGCGGCUCUCUAGUACGGUACUGACGCUGAGACGCGAAAGCGUGGGGAGCAAACAGG